UAAGAGGAAUGAUUUGAUAUGCACUGAGAAAAUCCAGGUAAAAAGUUUCUCUCCUUCCAAGCUCUGAGGCCUAGAAUUCCUUCAGAUCAAACCUGGAGAAACCUUGAUCAGGGAGUCAGGAUUCCUGGGUCUUGAAUCAUGCUCUGCACUUCCCAAAGCACUAAGAUUUGUUGAGCAUUGACUGUGCACCCAGCUCUGGGCUAAGCUAUGCACAUGUAUUCUCCUAAUUCCUUCCUCCCAGCAACCCUGUAAGAUGUGUUCAGUUACUACCGCUAUUUUGCCGAGGAGCAAACGGAGGCUUGGAAAAGUUCAGGAAUUUGCCCAGAGCGGCACAGUCGUAAUCAUGGGGCUGUGAUUUUCCAACAGGUAGGUCUGAUGCCCAGGACUCUGUCAGGAACCCGCAUCUUACUCUGCCUAGCUCUGAGGUAUCUUAGCUAACCUAAGGAGGAAGUCGAUCCCCGUGACUUCUAGGAACUUCUGACAAUGCUGUGAUGUCCUUAUUGGUUCCUUUGUUUUACAUCUUGCCCUUCUUAAAGGUUUCCCUUUAACAUGGAAACAGUCCAGGAUAGGUAACAAUUGUAAAUCCCCAUGAAGGAUUCUAAACCUUAAAGUAUAUCACAACCAGCUGGUGAGCUUCUAAAAAUGCUUAUUUUCGUGGCUGCUCACCAACACUCUGCUUUAGCACGUUUGAAAUGGGCGCCUAGAAUCCUGAUCCUCCCCAAGGCCUCCAGCCAAGUGAUUCUAAUGCAUGGGGUCUGAAGCCCACAGUAAAGAAUGUUAUUCCGGCCCCUUUUGGGGAAUUGGUUUAAUUGAUUGGAUGCUGGCCACAGUGGAAGUUAGGAGUGUUUUGGGUGAAUUGUGGCGCCUAGAUUCCUCACCUUGGCAGACCUGGCUGUGCCUCGCGUCCUCUGGUUCAGCUCCGCCCAUUGGUUCCCAAGUACUGCACAUUAGACUCACCUGGGUGGGGAAGCUUUUAGGGGCCCCUGGUAGCUCAGUUCGUUAAGUGCCUGGCUUUGGCUCAAGUCAUGAUCUCCUGGUUUCUCAUUUCAAGCCCCGAGUCGGGUUUGGUGCUGACAGCUCAGAGCCUGGAGCCUGCUUUGGAUUCUGUGUCUCCCUCUCUCUCUGCCACUGGCCGCACCCCCCCCCCCCAUCCCCGCUCAUGCUCUGUCUCUCUCUCAAAAACGAAUAAAAUAAAAAAACAUUAAUUAAGAAAAAAAAAAAAAAGAAUCACCUGGGAAGCUUGUAAAACCGUGCCAAUGGGGCACUUGAGUGGCUCAGUCGGUUAAGCGUCCAACUCUUGAUUUCAGCUCAGGUCAUGAUCUCCUGGUUUGGUUUGUGAGAUCCAGCCCUGCAUCAGGCUCUGUGCGGGCAGAGGGGAGCCUGCCUGGGACUCUCUCUUUCCCUUUCUCUCUGCUCCUCCUCCGCUUGUGCACUCACUCUCUUUCUUUCUCUCUCUCUCUUUGUCAAAAAUAAAUAAGUAAAUAAACAAAUAAACAUUAAAAAACAAGAGAGAACACCAUGCCAGGUCAUGCUCUAGGUCAAUUAAAUCCCAAUGUCUGGGAUUUGGAACUGGCUUCAGUACUUUUUUUUUUUUUUUUUUUUAAUAUUUCCAGAUGAUUCCUUUGCUCACCCGUUUGGGAACCACUGUCAGGCGUGUUAUGGAUUGUACACCUUUUUACCUGAAAGACACUUCCACUAUCCCAGUCCUUCUUAUGUCAUAAGACACAUCUGCAAGCCACUCUAUUCUCUAUCGGCUGUCCAGAUGCCCCCUCUCACUCCUCUGCUUUUUAUACUGCGUUUAAGUUUGUCAGCUCAUCACCUUGUUUGUACUUACUAUGUGUCUUCCCCCUGAGGGAAGAGACUUUAACGUGUAUGGCUCUCACCUGAUAGGAGGAGCAAGGCUAGGUAAGGGAAAGAAAAGACAAAAGCCAACUGGUCUGCCAUGGCUUUCUUCGUGCUAGCCCAGAUGGAGAGGAAUAAUAAUGGUUAUUAUAAGGAGGUUGCCCUGGCGCCGGACUCCUUGAAUAAAAUACCCUAGUAAAACUUUGGACCUCCCUCUUCUGGGGAGGAACAAAGAAUCCUGCUAAAAACAGUACCUUUUAAAUAAUGAUGUUAUGACUGAUAUUUUGAAAUUGGGAGUCUGCUGACAAAUGAUUCAGAAUGUAGGAACAAUUCAGAACGCGGACCAGCUUUCCUUACCAAGACGUUUGGGGCGACUCAUGAAAGCUUGGGAAGGAGUUUAAGAAUGAGUCAAAGUUCUCUCCAAAGUUUCCCUUUCUCUCUUUUGGUUGGUUGUUACCUUGGUCACUUAAGAAACAAACCCCGUCAUCCCGAACUGACAUGGUGACUCAGUUUCCCCAAAAACAGGAGUUGCACAGGGUCUGACUGUCACUUAGAUGUCCCCGCAGCUCUGUUAUGCUCUGCAGCCUACCUAGAGUUUUUAAUGCUUACCUAUUUUUAAGAGAAAGAGAGAGCACGAGCAAGCAUGAGUGGGGGAGGGGCAGAGAGAGAGAGAGGGGGACAAAUGAUCCUAAGUGGGCUCUGUGCUGACACCAGCGAGCUGAUGGGGGGCUCGAACUCAGGAACUGUGAGAUCACGCCCCAAGCCGAAGUCAGAUGCUCAACCAACAAAGUCACCCACGUGCUCCAGCCUAGAGGUUUAAAAAUGAAGACUCUUUGGAUGAAAAAUCUCGAUUUCUCGCCUCUCUUGAAAACUCAAAAACUCUUCCCGCCCUGAGUUCGCUUAUUUGGUGAUAACAGUCAGCAUUUGCCCCACCCCCACCCCCUUUCUUUGUUACUUAUUGUGAGAGAGACAGAGAGAGUGUGAGCAGGGGAGGGGCAGAGAGAGAGAGGGAGGAUCUGGAUCAGGCUCUGCUGUCAGUGCACAGCCCAACAGGACACUUAAACCCAUGAACCGUGACCUCAUGACCUGAGCCCAAAUCAAGAGUCAGAAGCUUAACCAACUGAGCCACCCGGGCACCCCUUUUUGUGGAGGCCUGUGUGCUCUAAGUUGCCAGUCUGCACUCCUUCCUAAUUCCACACAAACCAUUUCAAUUUAAGUUGCCUAUCUGAAUUUGGGGGGCUGGGGCAUCAGUAUCACCUGUUGGAACUUGUGAAAACACCAAUUGCUGGGCCCCACCAAUCUUCUUUAAGGAAGGGUUGUCGGUUCCCUAUGUAUGUAUGAAUGUAUGUAUGUGAGUUUGUAUACAUGGAAGUAUGUGUAUAUAUUAUCAGCAUGGGCUUACGUGUAUUUAUUUCAUUCUUUAGGUUACAAUCCAGUAAUAUUGUUGUUUCUUUUCUUGCUUAAAAUGUCUGAACUUAAGGCAUUGGGGGCUCUUUCAGGUUGGUUCCUGUGCCUUUUCAGUAAGUCUCUCCACACCUCACCCAGCCUUCUUUUUUUAAAAAGCAUUACCUUUAGCACUUUCUGGUACCAGAAGAUGCCCCAGGCUUAUCUUGUAUUUUCUAUACUUCCCCUAAAGACUUAACUAGUUCUCCAAGGAUCCAUGUUUCUUUUAUUGGAGAAAGGUAUUUAGAAACCAAGGUCUGGAUGCUAAGUGUGCUCAUUGCUAGUGGGGUGUCACUGCCUCUAGCACCUCUCAAUGGACAGACCUAGGAAAUACAUGUAGGCAUGCUAACUCAUGCAUAUACUCACACAGAUGUAUUUACAUAUUUGUGAAAAAUAUAUGUAUACAUACAUACAUAUAUCUACUGUCUGUAUGGAUGCCUUCAACUCCAACCCAUUACCAUAGGAUUCAUCCUGCUCUUGGGGGUAUCAGAUUUUUAAUCUUUGUAUGGCUUUUUUUUAAUGUUAACAGGGGCUCAGAACAUCCUGGGGGGUGGGAGGAAGGAAUAUUUUAUAAAUAUUACUGGAGGAAAAAAAGCUGACCCCAAGCUUGGCAUAACAAACAUGUCAGCGUAGCCCCAUGGUUAAUAUCCUUCAGCCCCAACUGAAAGCUACAGUUUGGAACACACAACCUCACUGUUCCUGAAGGUGGGCAGACGUGCCUCACUUCCCUUCUUACACAAACAGUUUGUCUCCAGCCCUAUGGAACAAUGCCUAUUGUAACGCUGAGCUGGCACUUGUGGAUUCUAAAUAUAAGCCAAGAUACUUCUCAAAGAUUAGAAUCAGAACUUUGCUUUACAUGUGAAAUCUUAUUUUGAAUGCAGGUACACAAUUACUCACUCAGAGACUUAAUUAUACUGCCUUAGGAUAGUAUUACAAUAGUUUUAAUUAUUUUUUGGGGGGUUACAAAAGUAACCUUUUGUCUCUUGAGGAAGGUGAAGUGACUAUAGUCUUUUUGAGAACUUGAAAUACAAAUUAACCAUCGGCUGUGAGGUUUAUCUGUGGUUCCUUCAUGUUUAUUCAAGAAGCAACCAUACUUGGAUGGGCUCCUCCUUCUUCUCAUUAUACUUAAUGUAAAUCUAGUGCUGCUUGGAUAUGUCUUUAUGAACUGUGCAGAGAACUGGAAAGAGAAUCCAACCAAGACGGUUCAUGGGCUGCUGGAGGUGUGGCUCAGUGGUUUGGAAAACAUUCUGGGUUUUAAACAGCAACACCUAUAAUUAUGGAGGCGUCAUCCCUUCCAUAAAAAAGAAAACAAAACAAAGAAAGCAAAGCCCUUCUACUAACAAGGUGUAGUCAUAGCACAUGUUCAGCCUUCCCCAAGCCUGUCUGGCAUUUGUUUCUGGCCUGGUGGGGGAAUAUCAUCCAUCUUUCGCUGAGCACUCAUCAAACAAUACAAAGGUGAACAAUUGGAGGGCAAUUAGCAGUCCCUUUGGGGUAAUAGGAGAGAGAAGUCACCUUGCUAUUAAUUUCAAAGGAAUUAAUCAUGGUUUACAUAUGCGAUUUAGUGGCUUAACGUUGCAAGGGGUUGAAAAACAAGGAAUCAACAAAGUUUACGAAAGACACCGGUGUAGCAAACCAGGUAUGCUGGCCAACUUACAAAACUAUCUGUUGAGUAGUCUAAGGCUGUAAAGAUUGAGAUGGUGCCUGUUGUCUCAGGGGCUACGUGCACCACAGAUCUGUGUUUCUCAAACUUGCAUAUGUGUGAGACUCAGCUGGGCAGUAUUGUUAAAAUGCAGAUACUUAUCCAGUAGGCAUCUCGAGGGGGCUGGGAUUCUGCAUUUCUGAUAUGCUGUCAGGUGGUGCUCCUAUUCCUGAUGACAUCUCAUCUUGCAUAGCUAGGCUGUAGAUUGUUCUGGUACCUGUGGUAAGGUAGGAUUGAGGCACUCAUACUCCCUUUAUGUAUUUUGAAAUUACCAAUGUGUUGCAAUGUGAAUGUCCUAGGGUUAAGGGAUUAGAAUAGCUUUCUGGAGUAGAGGUACUCGGCCAAAUAGUUUAUUGUAUCUUGUCGUUUCUAGGGACUACAGUCCAUUGGCACCUAUAGGGCAAGGAGCUAUCCUGUAUGUUACAGUUAACAGCAACCUCUUUUCGCCAGGACCAAUUUAGAAAAACCUAAACAUAUUUUCAAGCCAUGUUUAUUUAUGUUUAUAGAACUGUGCCCUUAAAAGCAGGAAAUGCAAUCUGUGUGAUUAAGUCCCCUUUCUGCGAUUAAAACCUCAGAAAAUG